rnacentral:rRNA from 1 species
ACAGUCACUGACAUUAGAUACCCCCUGUAGUCCAGGGUGUAAACGCUGCAGACUUGGUGUUGGAGGCCCUUUGGGGGCAUUCAGUGCCGGAGAGAAGUUGUUAAGUCUGCUACUUGGGGAGUACGUCCGCAAGGAUGAAACUUAAAGGAAUUGGCGGGGAGCACCGCAACGGGAGGAGCGUGCGGUUUAAUUGGAUUCAACACCGUAAAACUCACCAGGGAAGACUGUUACAUGAAGGCCGAGAUGAAGACUCUGCUAGAUUUUCAG